GUGCUGUGAGCUCGAUGAGUAGGGCGGGACACGUGGUAUCCUGUCUGAAUAUGGGGGGACCAUCCUCCAAGGCUAAAUACUCCUGACUGACCGAUAGUGAACCAGUACCGUGAGGGAAAGGCGAAAAGAACCCCGGCGAGGGGAGUGAAACAGAACCUGAAACCGUGUACGUACAAGCAGUGGGAGCCCCACCACUAAGCCAGUGGUGAACUCCACAUACGCAUCCUUUGCUGAGGAUACGGUUAACGGAGCGAAAGCGACGUUCAACCGCAAAACAAGCAGAGGGGGCUUAGUGGUGGGGUGACUGCGUACCUUUUGUAUAAUGGGUCAGCGACUUAUAUUCUGUAGCAAGGUUAACCGUAUAGGGGAGCCGGAGGGAAACCGAGUCUUAAC
rnacentral:rRNA from 2 species